rnacentral:rRNA from 1 species
GACGAACGCUGGCGGCGUGCUUAACACAUGCAAGUCGAACGGAAAGGCCCUGCUUUUGUGGGGUGCUCGAGUGGCGAACGGGUGAGUAACACGUGAGUAAACUGCACUUGACUUUGGGAUAACUUCAGGAAACUGGGGCUAAUACCGGAUAGGAGCUCCUGCUGCAUGGGGGGGGAUGGAAAGAUUCGGCGGUUGGGGAUGGACUAGCGGCUUAUCAGCUUGUUGGUGGGGUAGUGGCUUACCAAGGCUUUGACGGGUAGCCGGCCUGAGAGGGUGACUGGCCACAUUGGGACUGAGAUACGGCCCAGACUCCUACGGGCGGCAGCAGUGGGGAAUAUUGCACAAUGGGCGGAAGCCUGAUGCAGCAGCGCCGCGUGCGGGAUGACGUCCUUCGGGUUGUAAACCGCUUUCGCCUGUGACGAAGCGUGAGUGACGGUAAUGGGUAAAGAAGCACCGGCUAACUACGUG